GCUCCUCCCCGGACUCGAGAUUUUCUUUACUAUAAAGAUAAUCCUUUACAGUAGGCGGAGAAGCCUUUAGAAAUAUAUAUCUUGGAGUGUAACUCCCCGUCACCUCCUCACUAUAAGUGUAAAAACAUACAAAGCUUGUCUCGGAACGUAACUUCCCUUUACUUCCUUAAAGGUGAUGUAGAAACCUUGUGUAGUCUUUGUACUUCUAAAUCUUUUGCUGGUCUUGAGUCUUAGAUAUUAGAUCUUGGGUCUUUCCUCUUCUUCACGGUGCAAUGAUUAUUAACUCCCCGUCAAUACUUCAAGGUCUUAGGUCUUACAACGAAGAUCAACUCACUUCACUUCACCUCACUGCAAAAGUUAGAAUACAAUAUCUACGAAAAUAUCCUUUGUUUUAAUAAGAUUUUUGGUCCGCAAUAUCAAUCCAAUAAUAACAGUUAAUUAUAUUGAUUCGUCGAUUAUAACAAAACUGACAGUGAUUAGUUCAACAAUUUAUAUCGCUUAGAAAAUAUAAAUAGUUGAUUUUAAUAUUGAGCACGUCACGAAGGAGGGCGCACUACUAGUAUGAUUAGGAUUGAUUUUAAUAACCUGAGCACACCACGUAUGGGCACACUACGAGAGUUAUAUCAAUUAGUGUUGAGUGAUUUAUAGAUAUAUGAUGCGGUCGAUAAUUACACUCACACACACGGGAACGAGAACCACUAAACUCGUAAGAUUAAUAUUUCCAUGAAUCACGUCACAUAUGGAAACGUUCACCAAAACGAGAAAGGGUAUGUUGGGCGUAGGGAUAUAUCAGUUAAGCACAGAUCACACGCACAACAAUAACUAACUUAUCACCUUUGGCCUUAUAUCCGGCUUUUCGUGCCAAGCUAGGCAAAGAUCCCUCCAAGUUUGGUGAGGAAAUCUCAAAGGAUACGACGCACAAGUAUAAGUGGCUAACUCGUGUGUUUUGUAAUCAAAGAGAACUUUAAAGAUGAAGAGAAUAUUUUUGUUCAAAAGCCCUUUGUCAAAAAUGGUCGGUUAAGACAUGAAUAGAAACGAAGCUAAAAAUAACCAGUUAUACGAUUUUUGCAAAAAGUUCGCCGGAAAAAUUCGUCGGAAGUUCGACCGGAUUUUGGCUUUGCACACGAACUUUGGGCAGACCUUCGGGAGGACAAAAGAAUGGUCUAAAAAUGAGCUAAGCGAGAUGUGGCUAGGUUGGGUGGUACGAAGCCUCUGCGUAUAAAACCUUGCGUAUAUAAUGAAGUAUAUGAAAAAUCAAAGGUUUUAAAGAUGAAGUAAAUAUGGUGGGUACUUGAAUAGACUUUGGGAGAGUGUUUAUACUGCAAAAUCUCAGCAUAUAUUUGGC
rnacentral:lncRNA from 1 species